rnacentral:miRNA from 1 species
GUAGCUCAGAGUUUUAAGUUUCACCCAUCAUACAGGGAAGUCCAGGCCUCCGCACUGGGCUCCUGAUGUGCAGUCAGAAGCGUACUGCCCAUGUCUCUUCCUGCUUUUAUAUAGCCUGUGA